CUUAUUAUUCUUCUUCUUCUUCCCCUUCUGCUUCUUGUUCUUCUUCUUCUUGUUCUUCUUGUUCUUCUUGUUCUUCUUCUUCUUCUUAUUCUGCUUCUUCUUCUUCUUCUUGUUCUUCUUCUUCUUAUUAUUCUCCUUCUCCUUCUCCUCCUCCUUCUUCUUCUUCUUCUUCCCCUUCUUCUUCUUAUCCUCUUUCUUCUCCUUCUUCUUGUUCUUCUUAGCUAAUUAUCCUCCAAAAUUACACAAUUA
rnacentral:lncRNA from 1 species